GCAGUGGUGGCUCAGUGGUAGAAAUCUCACCUUCCAUGCAGGAGACCUGGGUUCGAUUCCCAGCCAAUGCA
rnacentral:tRNA from 1 species